GUGGUUGUUUCCAUAUCAUAAGGGAAAGCAUUGGAUGCUUAUAAUAAUUGAUUUUGAUCACCAAUUGUGCUAUUUCCUGGAUUCUCUUCACAAUUUUCCACCAGAUGAAAUCAAAUCUCUCAUUUCUUGUGUCUUUCAACAUUUACGCACAAAUAAUGCAAAAACUAAGGAAGGCGUGUGGAGAACAGUUAAGUGUCCUCGUCAACCAUUACAAUCAGUACAAUGUGGGUUCUAUGUUAUGAGGAUGAUGAAGGACUUCGUGACAAAUGGGUUUUCAAUGCGAUGGCUAA